rnacentral:rRNA from 1 species
AUUGAACGCUGGCGGCAGGCCUAACACAUGCAAGUCGAACGAGUGGCGGACGGGUGAGUAAUGUCUGGGAAACUGCCUGAUGGAGGGGGAUAACUACUGGAAACGGUAGCUAAUACCGCAUACCAUCGGAUGUGCCCAGAUGGGAUUAGCUAGUAGGUGGGGUAAAGGCUCACCAAGGCGACGAUCCCUAGCUGGUCUGAGAGGAUGACCAGCAACACUGGAACUGAGACACGGUCGAGACUCCGACGUGAGGCAGCAGUGGGGAAUAUUGCACAAUGGGCGCAAGCCUGAUGCAGCCAUGCGGCGUGUAUGAAGAAGGCCGUCGGGUUGUAAAGUACUUUCAGCGGGGAGGCGUUACCCGCAGAAGAAGCACCGGCUAACUACGUGCCAGCAGCCGUAGUAAUAC